rnacentral:rRNA from 1 species
GACGAACGCUGGCGGCGUGCUUAACACAUGCAAGUCGAACGGAAAGGCCCUGCUUUUGUGGGGUGCUCGAGUGGCGAACGGGUGAGUAGCACGUGAGUAACCUGCCCUUGACUUUGGGAUAACUUCAGGAAACUGGGGCUAAUACCGGAUAGGAGCUCCUGCUGCAUGGUGGGGGUUGGAAAGUUUCGGCGGUUGGGGAUGGACUCGCGGCUUAUCAGCUUGUUGGUGGGGUAGUGGCUUACCAAGGCUUUGACGGGUAGCCGGCCUGAGAGGGUGACCGGCCACAUUGGGACUGAGAUACGGCCCUGACUCCUACGGGAGGCAGCAGUGGGGAAUAUUGCACAAUGGGCGGAAGCCUGAUGCAGCAACGCCGCGUGCGGGAUGACGGCCUUCGGGUUGUAAACCGCUUUCGCCUGUGACGAAGCGUGAGUGACGGUAAUGGGUAAAGAAGCACCGGCUAACUACGUG